rnacentral:tRNA from 1 species
GCUCCCAUAGCUCAACGGAUAGAGUACGAGUUUGCGGAACUUGAGAUGACGGUCCGAUUCCGUCUGGGAGCA